AUUGAACGCUGGCGGUAUGCUUAACACAUGCAAGUCGAACGGUAGCAGGCCUUCGGGCGCUGACGAGUGGCGGACGGGUGAGUAACGCGUAGGGAUCUGCCUCAUAGUGGGGGACAACGUGUGGAAACGCACGCUAAUACCGCAUACGCCCUACGGGGGAAAGCGGGGGACCUUUGGGCCUCGCGCUAUGAGAUGAGCCUGCGUUAGAUUAGCUAGUUGGUGGGGUAAAGGCCUACCAAGGCGACGAUCUAUAGCUGGUCUGAGAGGACGAUCAGCCACACUGGGACUGAGACACGGCCCAGACUCCUACGGGAGGCAGCAGUGGGGAAUAUUGGACAAUGGGCGCAAGCCUGAUCCAGCAAUACCGCGUGUGUGAAGAAGGCCCUAGGGUUGUAAAGCACUUUCAAUAGGGAGGAAAACCUGCCGGUCAAUACCCGGUAGCUUGACAUUACCUAUACAAGAAGCACCGGCUAACUCCGUGCCAGCCGCCGCAGUAAAAC
rnacentral:rRNA from 1 species